UAAAACUCAAAGCUGUGACUAUCAAGAGUGAUUUUUCUCACUGCAAAAUGAACAGGUUGAAUCCCUUAUAGGUGAUUGGUCUUUCUUGGAUUCAAGAUAUGCCAUUAAUUAAUUCUUCUAAUUGAUUUCAAUCUGGUGCCCCACUCAGGCUGUGGCUAACUUCGUUCAAUAUUGAGUUUGAUUUUCCAAUUUUCCCAUAUAUUUGUUAUUAUUAUAUUUUAAUUUUUUCGUCUCGUGCUAAAGGCAUGUAAGCUUAGAUACUGUAUACCCUUAUACUUAUUUUUCCUACUUAUUUUAGCUUUAUCACCUAAUUUGAGCUGAUAGAUUUCCUAUAUAUUUUACAUUUUUUUCUAUUUGGCACUUUUUCAUCAUUACACACAUAUAUAUUUAAAAGGACCAUACAGUGGGCUGACAAACUGCUAGUUGGAUAACUAUCCCAAACAUUAUUCACCAAGUACUAUGAAUCUGCUUCAUAUAUAAGUGGGUCAUUCUGUUACCUAGAGCCCCAAGUUUAGAUUAUUUUUCUUCAGACUGAGUUUACUGAAACUCAUUAGAAAUUAUAAUUAACAUUAAUUGGCAUGCCUUCCUGGAUUACAGUAAUUCCCCAGCAAAUAGGUGUCUUCUUUCUUCUGGCUUUAGGGGGAACUACUUCACCUACAUAAUUAUAAUUUGUUCCAAAGGGGGCUUUCAAUAAUGAUACUUUGAAUUAUUUCACACCCUAAAUAUAAGAACAUGUUUCAAACUUAGACAAACAUAAUACAUUUACCCAAACCCUCUGCUGCAAAAUGAACUAAGCAAGGUGUGAGCUGUGAUAAAUGGCCUGCCAAUCAGAGUCCUGCUCUGAUUUUCUACAAAACAUUGUGGAGGGUAAAAGUCUCUUUUCCUCCAGCAAUGAAGCUGCCCAUCUAGUGGCCCAUCUGCCAUCAUACGGUGAAAAGUGGUCGGUGGUAGAAGAAUAUUAAGGUAAUACACAGAAAACCAGGAAAGGGAGGAAAAGAAAGCAAACCCCAGUGAUGUAAUGGUUAUUUUUUAGCCAUUUCCUUUAGUAUUUCUGUAAUUU
rnacentral:lncRNA from 10 species